CAAUGUUAAUUUCUGACCAUCAGAAUUCUGUAAAAUCUCUCCCCAAAGUCCAGGAAAUGGCAUUUCAGAGAGUCUAAAUUCAAAAAUUUUCCGGAUGAACAUGCCCUGGACCCCCUAGAAAACUUUGUGCAUAUACGGUGCUCGAGUCUUGCCUUUGGCACUUCUACUAGGGGGCCUUCGAAAAUUUUGAACCGGGGGCCCCCUGAUAUAACGUUACGCCACUGCG